rnacentral:tRNA from 1 species
GGGUCCGUAGCUCAAUGGUAGAGCAGCAGCCUUUUAAGCUGUUGGUUGAGAGUUCGAGUCUCUCCGGACUCA